rnacentral:rRNA from 1 species
UACGUAGGGGGCAAGCGUUGUCCGGAUUUAUUGGGCGUAAAGAGCGUGUAGGCGGCCAUACAGGUCAGCUGUGAAAAACUCGAGGCUCAACCUCGGGCUUGCAGUGGGUACGGGCAGACUAGAGUGCGGUAGGGGUGACUGGAAUUCCUGGUGUAGCGGUGAAAUGCGCAGAUAUCAGGAGGAACACCGGUGGCGAAGGCGGGUCUCUGGGCAGUAACUGACGUGAGGAGCGAAAGCGUGGGGGAGCGAACAGG